UGCUUCUCAUGAGCUCCUCUCUGUCAGUCCAGUGGCGGUGUAUGGAUUCGCACGAGAAGUAGAUUGAAAUCGCAGUUAAACCGGUGGUUCCACCAUAUUGGGAUGUACCCAUGUCUGAUGUGAGACAUGA
ensembl:snoRNA SNORA75 Small nucleolar RNA SNORA75